rnacentral:rRNA from 1 species
GACGAACGCUGGCGGCGUGCUUAACACAUGCAAGUCGAACGGAAAGGCCCUGCUUUUGUGGGGUGCUCGAGUGGCGAACGGGUGAGUAACACGUGAGUAACCUGCCCUUGACUUUGGGAUAACUUCAGGAAACUGGGGCUAAUACCGGAUAGGAGCUCCUGCUGCAUGGUGGGGGUUGGAAAGUUUCGGCGGUUGGGGUUGGACUCGCGGCUUAUCAGCUUGUUGGUGGGGUAGUGGCUUACCAAGGCUUUGACGGGUAGCCGGCCUGAGAGGGUGACCGGCCACAUUGAGACUGAGCUACGGCACAGACUCCUACGGGAGGCAGCAGUGGGGAAUAUUGCACCAUGGGCGGAGACCUGAUGCAGGAACGCCGCGUGCGGGAUGACGGCUUUCGGGUUGUAGACCGCUUUCGACUGAGACGAAGCGUGAGUGACGGUCAUGGGUAGAGAAGCACCGGCUAACUACGUG